rnacentral:rRNA from 1 species
AUUGAACGCUGGCGGCAGGCUUAACACAUGCAAGCCGAGCGGGGGAAGGUAGCUUGCUACCGGACCUAGCGGCGGACGGGUGAGUAAUGCUUAGGAAUCUGCCUAUUAGUGGGGGACAACAUCUCGAAAGGGAUGCUAAUACCGCAUACGUCCUACGGGAGAAAGCAGGGGACCUUCGGACCUUGCGCUAAUAGAUGAGACUAAGUCGGAUUAGCGAGUUGGUGGGGUAAAGGCCUACCAAGGCGACGAUCUGUAGCGGGUCUGAGAGGAUGAUCCGCCACACUGGGACUGAGACACGGCCCAGACUCCUACGGGAGGCAGCAGUGGGGAAUAUUGGACAAUGGGGGGAACCCUGAUCCAGCCAUGCCGCGUGUGUGAAGAAGGCCUUAUGGUUGUAAAGCACUUUAAGCGAGGAGGAGGCUACUUUAGUUAAUACCUAGAGAUAGUGGACGUUACUCGCAGAAUAAGCACCGGCUAACUCUGUGCCAGCCGCCGCUGUAAGAC